UUCGUAGGCGGUGCGGCAAGUCGGGAGUGAAAUCUCUGGGCUUAACUCAGAGGCUGCUUCCGAAACUGCCGUGCUCGAGUGUGGGAGAGGCGCGUGGAAUUGCAGGUGUAGCGGUGAAAUGCGUAGAUAUCUGCAGGAACACCCGUGGCGAAAGCGGCGCGCUGGACCACAACUGACGCUGAGGAACGAAAGCUAGGGGAGCAAACAGGAUUAGAUACCCUGGUAGUCCUAGCCCUAAACGAUCAGGACUUGGGGUGCCGCCCGUUCGGGCGUCGUCCCGGAGCUAACGCGUUAAGUCCUGCACCUGGGAGUACGGUCGCAAGACUGAA
rnacentral:rRNA from 1 species